UAGCUGUAUGAGGGGAACGAGGGGAACUGAAACAUCUAAGUACCCUUAGGAAAAGAAAAUAAAUAAUGAUUCCGUAAGUAGCGGCGAGCGAAAGCGGAAGAGCCCAAACCAUAUAGAAAUAUAUGGGGUUGCGGACAUAUCAGAGGAUACCGAAAUUUGUAGCCGAAUACGGCUGGAAAGCCGAACCGAAGAAGGUGAUGGUCCUGUAGGCGAAACAGAUUAAGGUAGAAGAUAUGAUCCAGAGUACCACGGGACACGAGGAAUCCAGUACCGUGAGGGAAAGGUGAAAAGAACCCCGGGAGGGGAGUGAAAAAGAACCUGAAACCCCAUGCCUAUAAGCAGUGGGAGUCCGGCACUCAAUUCUGAGGAUAAGCGAAAAUUGAGUGAAAGGAAGCACAAUAAGUAGUUUAUCAAUAGAAUUGAGUGCCGGAUGACCGCGUACUUUUUGUAGAACGGGCCAACGAGUUACAAUAUGCAGCGAGGUUAAUAACUAAGAGGUUAGGAGCCGAAGGGAAACCGAGUCUGAAGAGGGCGAGAGUUGCAUGUUGUAGACCCGAAACCGGGUGACCUAUCCAUGUGCAGGUUGAAACUAGAGUAAAGUCUGGUGGAGGACCGAACCCAUUAGCGUUUAAAAGCUACGGGAUGACGUGUGGAUAGGGGUGAAAUUCCAAUCGAACCCGGAGAUAGCUGGUUCUCCUCGAAAUAGCUUUAGGGCUAGCCUCAGGAAAGAGUAUCGUGGGGGUAGAGCACUGACUGGUCUAGGGGCGUUAUACGUUACCGAAACCUAUCAAACUCCGAAUACCACAGAUAUGUUGCCUGGGAGUCAGACUACGAGAGAUAAGUUUCGUGGUCAAAAGGGAAACAGCCCAGAUCACCAACUAAGGUCCCAAAAUACAGAUUAAGUGGAAAAGGAUGUAAAACUACACAGACAACCAGGAUGUUGGCUUAGAAGCAGCCAUUCAUUAAAAGAGUGCGUAAUAGCUCACUGGUCGAGUGGUUUUGCGCCGAAGAUGUCCGGGGCUAAAAUCUGUUACCGAAGUUGUGGACCUGCACUCAAUUUUGCAGAUAAGCGAUAAACUAAGAGAAGUUUAGUUUACCUGCAAAAUUGAGUGCAGGUGGUAGAGGAGCAUUCUGUAAGGGUCGAAGCACUACCGAAAGGAGUUGUGGACUUUACAGAAGAGAGAAUGUUGGCAUGAGUAGCGAAAGGGGAGUGAGAAUCUCCCCCAUCGAAAGCCUAAGGAUUCCUGAGGAAGGUUCGUCCACUCAGGGUAAGUCGGGACCUAAGCCGAGGCCAAAAGGCGUAGGCGAUGGACAACCGGUUGAGAUUCCGGUACCACCUUUAAGCGUUUGAGAGACGGGGUGACACAGAAGGGUAAGCUAAGCGCACUGAUGGAAUAGUGCGUCCAAGUAAGUAGGGAGAUAACCGAGGCAAAUCCCGGAUAUCAAUCCUGAGAUACGAAGGGGAGCGAAAACAAGUAGUGAAGUAGCUGAGCCCAUGCUGUCAAGAAAAGCCUCUAUCGAGCGAGAAGGUGCCCGUACCGCAAACCGACACAGGUAGGCAAGGAGAGAAUCCAAAGAUGCGCGGAAGAACUAUUGUUAAGGAACUAGGCAAAAUGACCCCGUAACUUCGGGAGAAGGGGUGCCGUGUUUUGUGAAAUCUAAACAGGUGGAGCAGGAUACGGCCACAGAAAACAGGCCCAAGCGACUGUUUACCAAAAACACAGGUCUCUGCUAAAUCGAAAGAUGAAGUAUAGGGGCUGACACCUGCCCGGUGCUGGAAGGUUAAGGGGAGAAGUUACCCCGCACUCAAUUCUGUAUAUAAUUUAAGAAACAAUUUUAAAAAGAAUGAGAUAGAUUGUAUAUGGAAUUGAGUGCGGGGGACGCUUUGAACUUAAGCCCCAGUAAACGGCGGCCGUAACUAUAACGGUCCUAAGGUAGCGAAAUUCCUUGUCGGGUAAGUUCCGACCCGCACGAAAGGUGUAACGAUUUGGGCACUGUCUCAACAAUAGAUCCGGUGAAAUUGUAGUACUCGUGAAGAUGCGAGUUACCCGCGGCAGGACGGAAAGACCCCAUGGAGCUUUACUGCAGGCUGACAUUGGAAUUCGGUAGCAAUUGUACAGAAUAGGUGGGAGACUGAGAAGCCGGUACGCCAGUAUUGGUGGAGUCGCCUUUGGGAUACCACUCUAUUGUUACUGAAUUUCUAACAUGGUACCGUAAUCCGGUACAUGGACACUGUCAGUUGGGCAGUUUGACUGGGGCGGUCGCCUCCGAAAGAGUAACGGAGGCGCUCAAAGGUUCCCUCAGCACGGUCGGAAAUCGUGCGAAGAGUGUAAAGGCAGAAGGGAGCUUGACUGUGAGAGAGGCAUCUCGAGCAGGAACGAAAGUUGGACUUAGUGAUCCGGUGGCACCGAGUGGAAAGGCCAUCGCUUAACGGAUAA
rnacentral:rRNA from 1 species